rnacentral:rRNA from 1 species
GCUGCGCAGCUACACAUGCAGUCGAGCGAGAUCUUCGGAUCUAGCGGCGGACGGGUGAGUAACGCGUGGGAACGUACCCUCUUCUGCGGGAUAGCCACUGGAAACGGUGAGUAAUACCGCAUACGCCCUUCGGGGGAAAGAUUUAUCGGAGGAGGAUCGGCCCGCGUUGGAUUAGGUAGUUGGUGGGGUAAUGGCCUACCAAGCCUACGAUCCAUAGCUGGUUUUAGAGGAUGAUCAGCCACACUGGGACUGAGACACGGCCCAGACUCCUACGGGAGGCAGCAGUGGGGAAUCUUAGACAAUGGGCGCAAGCCUGAUCUAGCCAUGCCGCGUGAGUGACGAAGGCCUUAGGGUCGUAAAGCUCUUUCGCCUGUGAUGAUAAUGACAGUAGCAGGUAAAGAAACCCCGGCUAACUCCGUGCCAGCAGCCGCGGUAAUACGGAGGGGGUUAGCGUUGUUCGGAAUUACUGGGCGUAAAGCGCACGUAGGCGGAUUGGAAAGUAUGGGGUGAAAUCCCAGGGCUCAACCCUGGAACGGCCUCAUAAACUUCCAGUCUGGAGUUCGAGAGAGGUGAGUGGAAUUCCGAGUGUAGAGGUGAAAUUCGUAGAUAUUCGGAGGAACACCAGUGGCGAAGGCGGCUCACUGGCUCGAUACUGACGCUGAGGUGCGAAAGUGUGGGGAGCAAACAGGAUUAGAUACCCUGGUAGUCCA